AUGAACGCUAGCUACAGGCUUAACACAUGCAAGUCGAGGGGCAGCAUUUUAGUUUGCUUGCAAACUAAAGAUGGCGACCGGCGCACGGGUGAGUAACACGUAUCCAACCUGCCGAUAACUCGGGGAUAGCCUUUCGAAAGAAAGAUUAAUAUCCGAUAGUAUAUUAAAACCGCAUGGUUUUACUAUUAAAGAAUUUCGGUUAUCGAUGGGGAUGCGUUCCAUUAGUUUGUUGGCGGGGUAACGGCCCACCAAGACUACGAUGGAUAGGGGUUCUGAGAGGAAGGUCCCCCACAUUGGAACUGAGACACGGUCCAAACUCCUACGGGAGGCAGCAGUGAGGAAUAUUGGUCAAUGGACGAGAGUCUGAACCAGCCAAGUAGCGUGAAGGAUGACUGCCCUAUGGGUUGUAAACUUCUUUUAUAUGGGAAUAAAGUAUUCCACGUGUGGGAUUUUGUAUGUACCAUAUGAAUAAGGAUCGGCUAACUCCGUGCCAGCAGCCGCGGUAAUACGGAGGAUCCGAGCGUUAUCCGGAUUUAUUGGGUUUAAAGGGAGCGUAGGUGGAUUGUUAAGUCAGUUGUGAAAGUUUGCGGCUCAACCGUAAAAUUGCAGUUGAAACUGGCAGUCUUGAGUACAGUAGAGGUGGGCGGAAUUCGUGGUGUAGCGGUGAAAUGCUUAGAUAUCACGAAGAACUCCGAUUGCGAAGGCAGCUCACUAGACUGCAACUGACACUGAUGCUCGAAAGUGUGGGUAUCAAACAGGAUUAGAUACCCUGGUAGUCCACACAGUAAACGAUGAAUACUCGCUGUUUGCGAUAUACAGUAAGCGGCCAGGCGAAAGCAUUAAGUAUUCCACCUGGGGAGUACGCCGGCAACGGUGAAACUCAAAGGAAUUGACGGGGGCCCGCACAAGCGGAGGAACAUGUGGUUUAAUUCGAUGAUACGCGAGGAACCUUACCCGGGCUUAAAUUGCAUUUGAAUAAUCUGGAAACAGGUUAGCCGCAAGGCAAAUGUGAAGGUGCUGCAUGGUUGUCGUCAGCUCGUGCCGUGAGGUGUCGGCUUAAGUGCCAUAACGAGCGCAACCCUUAUCUUUAGUUACUAACAGGUUAUGCUGAGGACUCUAGAGAGACUGCCGUCGUAAGAUGUGAGGAAGGUGGGGAUGACGUCAAAUCAGCACGGCCCUUACGUCCGGGGCUACACACGUGUUACAAUGGGGGGUACAGAAGGCAGCUACCUGGCGACAGGAUGCUAAUCCCAAAAACCUCUCUCAGUUCGGAUCGAAGUCUGCAACCCGACUUCGUGAAGCUGGAUUCGCUAGUAAUCGCGCAUCAGCCAUGGCGCGGUGAAUACGUUCCCGGGCCUUGUACACACCGCCCGUCAAGCCAUGAAAGCCGGGGGUACCUGAAGUACGUAACCGCAAGGAGCGUCCUAGGGUAAAACUGGUAAUUGGGGCU
rnacentral:rRNA from 1 species